rnacentral:rRNA from 1 species
AUUGAACGCUGGCGGCAGGCUUAACACAUGCAAGUCGAGCGGGGGAAGGUAGCUUGCUACCGGACCUAGCGGCGGACGGGUGAGUAAUGCUUAGGAAUCUGCCUAUUAGUGGGGGACAACAUCUCGAAAGGGAUGCUAAUACCGCAUACGUCCUACGGGAGAAAGCAGGGGAUCUUCGGACCUUGCGUCAAUAGAUGAGCCUAAGUGGGAUUAGCUAGUUGGUGGGGUAAAGGCCUACCAAGGCGACGAUCUGUAGCGGGUCUGAGAGGAUGAUCCGCCACACUGGGACUGAGACACGGCCCAGACUCCUACGGGAGGCAGCAGUGGGGAAUAUUGGACGAUGGGGGGAACCCUGAUCCAGCCAUGCCGCGUGUGUGAAGAAGGCCUUAUGGUUGUAAAGCACUUUAAGCGAGGAGGAGGCUACUCUAGUUAAUACCUAGGGAUAGUGGACGUUACUCGCAGAAUAAGCACCGGCUAACUCUGUGCCAGCCGCCGCCGUAA